GGGGAAUUUGAAACUUUUUGCAAUUUUUUUUGGGAACUAAAUAAGGCCUAGGACUAGGAGCUACGUGUCGUCUGUAACUUUGUAGUAUGAUAUAUUUGUACUCCCUCCGUAAAAAAAUGCACGUGUCAUCUUUCAAUUUUAACCUUUUUAGAUUAAUGGUUUUAUAUUUUAAAUGGUAGCCGACGUUCCGUGAUGUUUUUAUGAAUUUCGAAAUCUGUCGAUUUAGUCCUUCGAAGAUACUCAUAGGUAUAGGAUUUGUAUACAUAUAUUCUUAGGGGUAAGUGUGUGCGUUGUGAGUGUCUACUUUUGUACUGUAGAAUUCAAAAAAAAUACUUAUUAUGC
rnacentral:lncRNA from 1 species